GACGAACGCUGGCGGCGUGCUUAACACAUGCAAGUCGAACGGAAAGGCCCUGCUUUUGUGGGGUGCUCGAGUGGCGAACGGGUGAGUAACACGUGAGUAACCUGCCCUUGACUUUGGGAUAACUUCAGGAAACUGGGGCUAAUACCGGAUAGGAGCUCCUGCUGCAUGGUGGGGGUUGGAAAGUUUCGGCGGUCGGGGAUGGACUCGCGGCUUAUCAGCUUGUUGGUGGGGUAGUGGCUUACCAAGGCUUUGACGGGUAGCCGGCCUGAGAGGGUGACCGGCCACAUGGGGACUGCGAUACGGCCCAGACUCCUACGGGAGGCAGCAGUGGGGAAUAUUGCACAGUGGGCGGAAGCCUGAUGCAGCAACGCCGCGUGCGGGAUGACGGCCUUCGGGUUGUAAACCGCUUUCGCCUGUGACGAAGCGUGAGUGACGGUAAUGGGUAAAGAAGCACCGGCUAACUACGUG
rnacentral:rRNA from 1 species